AAAAAACAUGACCGACCUGUCAGCUGAAGGCAGAACGUGGUUGUAUUGUUUAUAGUAUUCAAAAAUGUAAUUAAUAAACGUACUUUCGACCAGGUUCAGCGUCAAAAAUAAGGUGAAUGACUGUCGUGCUUGAAGUAAAGACGAAUAAGUUCAGACUAAGAUAAAAAAAGCUCUAAAAGGAAAAAAAAUUAAUUUAAGUCGAAAAUCUUAUCGGAAAAUCGUUUUAGUCGAGAUCUUAUCGGAAAAUCGUCGGCAAAUCAACAACCUUAAAAGAAAAUAAGGGGUCUGAGCUUUUUUCUCUAUCACAUUCAAGUGGACGAACGGUACUAUCCUUGUUGCACUUGCGCAGUAAGCAGAAACUUUGUCCACGUUUUUCUCUUAAACAAAUGAAUAUUUUUGAAAAAUGAAAACCUAGACUGCUAGAUUGUAGAGUAAUGCAUCGAGCCUCGUUCUUACUUUUGCGUUCAAAGGUUUUGUUUGAGAGAAAAGCUUGGGCAAAAAUUACUAUAUAUUUUUACAUAUACACUGACACAUAUUACAUAUUACGGAUUUUAUUUAAAUCUAAAUUCACCCGUCACUUGGAGUUCCGGAGUUUUCAAUAUCAUUCUGAAUGCGGCGUAAAUAGGGAGUUUAUUUCCUUUUGAGGAGAUUAAAUAAAAAAACAGUCACCCGCUCCACAUUCACUUCGAAUUUACUCCGGAUUUAUCCGAUGCUAUGCAAUUUUAUACUGUUAUUUUUUAAAUAAAAAAACUAUAUUAUUUAUUUUCAAAUUUUAUAAGAAUUUAUUUAUGCCUUGUAAUUAAAACAUAUUAUUUGAAAGCUGUAUUUCAUAUACCUAAAUAAAUUUAUAUGCUUCACUCCAUGAUCGUCAAUAUUAUUUUAACGCUAUCAAAACUGCAAAUGAUUAAUAUGACAUAUGACACUAUCGUUUUAAAUGGAUACAGAGGAUUAAAUAUGAAUAAGAUAAAUGUGAUAAUUUAUUUAUUAAAACAAUUGGCUUACGAACUUAAAAUCAAUGUUAAUAAUAAUAAUAUUA